UACAGAGGUGGCAAGCGUUGUUCGGAAUUACUGGGCGUAAAGGGCGCGUAGGUGGCCUUCUUAGUCAGACGUGAAAUCCCCGGGCUUAACUCGGGAACUGCGUCUGAUACUGGAAGGCUGGAGUUCGGGAGAGGAAUGUGGAAUUCCAGGUGUAGCGGUGAAAUGCGUAGAUAUCCGGAGGAACACCGGUGGCGAAGGCGGCUUUCUGGACCGACACUGACGCUGAGGCGCGAAAGCUAGGGGAGCAAACGGG
rnacentral:rRNA from 1 species